GAGGAAGUAUGGCCCGAUUUACAUAAAGAAUGAAACUCUUGGUGUGAUCCAACCAGUUCCCUACAAGACUGCAAGAGGCACCCUGCGAGUUCUAUUACGAUCAUUCAGUGGAAUUGGUUGAAUUUGCACGUCAGAAUCCGAUGAUGGGGGCAUGAAUUGGAGUUAUGCAGACUUUACUGAACUCCCAAACCCAAACUCAGGUAUUGAUGGGGUUAAGCUUAAUAAUGGCCUCCUCAUAGUUGCUUACAAUACAAUUUCAAGGGGCAUACUCAAAGUUGCUGCAUCCAUGGAUGAUGGUGAUUCUUGGCAUGAAGCUCUAACCCUAGAAGAAAACUUAGAGAUGGAGUUUUCAUAUCCUGCUGUCAUCCAGGCUAGUGAUGGAUCGGUUCACAUUACCUAUACCUAUAACAGAACCCAAAUUAAGCAUGUUGUCCUUCAUGUUAAUUGACAGUGAUCCUGUCGGCAACAAAAGCCAGUUGAACAAUGUGUAUUUUACCUGACCAUGCAAGUGGAUCGUCACUCGAUCUUUGAUUAAUCAUUCUGUUGUAAAAGUGGAUAGCAGUCUUUGCGUUGCCUAUUCUCAGGAUGACGGCUAUAUCGAGUAAAUGUGAGCUUUACUUUUCCGACACCAAUCUCAGAAGAAUUUCAGAAAGCGAUCAUCAAAUCGGACUCCAGGCAACCAAGACGAAGAAAAAGGUUGUCAACUCAGGGUUGCACUGUUGGAUGGAUUUGUGAGACCUUGCUCAACGUUGUAUCGUGUUGCACCCAUGUAAUGGAAUGCGGGUUGUGUUCAUGUUUCCCUCCAUAUUUGUUUGCCUUGUGCUGUAUCAAUUUUGCUGCAGAAACCUCUGAA